UUUCGCUCGCACCCUCGCGUUGCGGCGCCUCGCCAUGGUCGACCGAUGUGGGGUCCCUCCACCUUCGCUAUCCCUGACCACGACCUCGAGUGGCGGCGCCACCGCUUCUCUCUGUGUGCCCCUCCGCCGCUGCGUCGCCGGUAUCUCGCUGAAAGGCGCGUCGAGCUUGCCAGAUCGGCCCUGCCGCCGCGAAUCCACUUCGUCCCUAUGUUGAUUCUGAGCUGACCUUGAGGCGAUCGCCGAUGAUUGGAUUGAGGGGGCUCUCUUGAGGCAACACCGAGAUGACGGUCUGCUGCAACUCGGCGGCAAUGACAACGCGCGACAGUUAGCCGGUGAUUUGAGUGAGGGGGCUCUCACGCGGAGAUGUCGACGGGCUGCAAGUCAGGGACAAUGGGUAUGUAGCAGUAGAGGCAGCCCAUCUUCCUUCCUCUGCUUAUGCGCGCAGGUGCUUUGGCCAUUGGUCUCCACAAAUUCUUGAGGUGAGAAACUUUGGAUUCUCUCUCAUACAUACCAUAGAUUUUGUAUAUCUUCUUAUUUGGAUCUUCCACGUUUCUGUCUUGUAUUUGAUCCAUUAUUUCCAUUUAUCUCUAAUUCUUGUAUUUGUGUUUUCUGAUAAUGUUUUCUAGAAUUCAUGUUGCCUCUUGCGACCCCCUCUGCUGUAUAGUAUCACACCAUUGAGCUGCCCUCUGGUUCCUAAGUAUCCAGAAAAGAAUGCAUAUCUUGCUUAAGGAUGAUGGUUCCCUUCAUUGAUUGCAUAACUGCUGGUAUUUGUACUAAAGGUUGGACAUCAAAGGAAGUUCUGAUGGGCAAGAGGUGCCUUUAAUGGUUGAAGUUCCAAUUUAUACAACAAGAUGGUGUGUGUGUGUGUGUGUGUGAAAGCUAGAGAUGGAAAUAGAUCUGUUGGUUCAACAAGUGAUGAAUAGAGCAGUCACUCCCAUAGGUACUUUUUUUGCGAGAAUCCCAUAGGUACUGUUGUUUGAUUGAA